GACGUAGGGGGCCAGCGUUGUUCGGAAUUACUGGGUGUAAAGGGUUCGUAGGCGGUGUGGCAAGUCGGGAGUGAAAUCUCUGGGCUCAACCCAGAGUCUGCUUCCGAAACUGCUGUGCUUGAGUGUGGGAGAGGCGCGUGGAAUUGCAGGUGUAGCGGUGAAAUGCGUAGAUAUCUGCAGGAACACCCGUGGCGAAAGCGGCCCUCUGGAACGGUACUGACGCUGAGACGCGAAAGCGUGGGGAGCGAACAGG
rnacentral:rRNA from 1 species